rnacentral:lncRNA from 1 species
GAGCCUAAUUGGGCGAGGAUCUCCACAUUAAAUAGCUGGACAGGGCUGCCAUUUACAGCAGUAUAAUGGUCAAAACUACUAUCAGAACAAAGCCCAGACAGAUGCAUUCAAGAGCAAUCAGUUGAGAAGUGGAGGAUGAUCUACCUUUGAGCGCCUAAUGGGUCGAAUCGCUUCUUUCCCAGAAGAAGUGCACCAAGUUGAGUCAAGAAUUCUCACACACGGGUUCUGCUAAUCAGAGAUAAUCAGCCAUCGCCGCCGUGCUCGAGUAUCUCGCCGCCGAGGUGAGUGGUGUCUCCUAUCCUUCUCCUCCUGCUCUUCUCUCUGAGGACCCUUGCUCCGCCGCCUCCAUUGUUCUUAUGUUCAGUGAGUUUGGUCACGGAUCCAGGUCCUGGAGCUGGCCGGCAAUGCCGCGAGGGACAACAAGAAGAACCGGAUAAUCCCUAGUCACGUCCUCCUGGCGGUGAGAAACGACGAGGAGCUCGGGAAGUUGCUAACCGCGUCACCAUCGCCCACGGCGGCGUGCUCCCCAACAUCAACCCGGUGCUGCUGCCCAAGAAGACCGAUAAGGCCGCCAGGGAGGCUGCCUCCCCCAGCAAUGCCACUAAAUCCCCAAAGAAGGCCUAGGGCUUCGUUCUCCCCGCUUCAACCAUGUCCAUGUAUGUAGCUGAUGCAGCACGCCCCAACCAUCUCUUGAUCAAGGAAAGUGAUUUGAAUCAAAUUGGGGGAAUAACUGACAUAGAAGGUGUGGACGACGCCCUUGAUCCAGCUACGCGCCGGUUACGCCACCAAAGCAAAUGC